AGAAGACUACUAAGUUCAGUCGGCAGGGGUUUCUUUCGGCCUUCAGCUGUUUGUAGUCUGUAGGCCGGCGGAAACUACUUGCUGACAGUGCUUGCAUCUACGU
rnacentral:pre_miRNA from 1 species